rnacentral:rRNA from 1 species
UACGGAGGAUCCGAGCGUUAUCCGGAUUUAUUGGGUUUAAAGGGUGCGUAGGCGGCCUAUUAAGUCAGGGGUGAAAUACGGUGGCUCAACCAUCGCAGUGCCUUUGAUACUGAUGGGCUUGAAUCCAUUUGAAGUGGGCGGAAUAAGACAAGUAGCGGCGAAAUGCAUAGAUAUGUCUUAGAACUCCGAUUGCGAAGGCAGCUCACUAAGCUGGUAUUGACGCUGAUGCACGAAAGCGUGGGGAUCGAACAGGAUUAGAUACCCUGGUAGUCCACGCCCUAAACGAUGAUAACUCGAUGUUGGCGAUAGACAGCCAGCGUCUUAGCGAAAGCGUUAAGUUAUCCACCUGGGGAGUACGCCCGCAAGGGUGAA